rnacentral:rRNA from 1 species
UACGUAGGGUGCAAGCGUUAAUCGGAAUUACUGGGCGUAAAGCGUACGCAGGCGGCUUUGCAAGACAGGUGUGAAAUCCCCCGGGCCUAACCUGGGAACUGCAUUUGUGACUGCAUGGCUAGAGUUUGUCAGAGGGGGGGUGGAAUCCACGUGUAGCAGUGAAAUGCGUAGAUAUGUGGAGGAACACCGAUGGCGAAGGCAGCCCCCUGGGAUGUGACUGACGCUCAUGUACGAAAGCGUGGGGAGCAAACAGG